GCCAUCGAAUUAGACUUUCAGAGACCUGCAGUAUGGUUCUUGGAAUAAAACCCCGGCUAACGGAGGCAACUCAACAUAAGUGUUCUUAAACACCAUCAGCUUCAUUAUAAGGAUGUUAUGAUGCGGGAGGCGAGGAAAAUAACCCUCCAGGUUUAUCGACCUCCUAGUGGAUAUACCGUAUCUCUUCAGCCUGCCACUUUGAAUUGGCAUACGUCCUCAUUAUCCAGGCCGCCCACUUGCCUUUAUUGGGAUCUGCCUCCUCGUUAAACCCAUUUUAAAGUUAAAAGUUAUCUGUCUGUUCAGCUGGGGAGUGGGUAUCACUUAUGGACUGGAAGAGACUGCAGCUUUGCCCUGUCCUGAGGCUUUCUCAAGGGAAUCUGCUGUUCACCCCUCAGACGGGCUCCGUUUAAAGUUGAGAUUCUGAGCCUCCCCCUCCCGGAAUGUUCUGCCCAACCCCCAACAGGUCUCGGCAUUGUUUUACCAAACCUGUCUGUCUGCUUCGGCUGCAAGUCCUGACUGUUGCUAGGAUACCGGGCUGUGUGUUGGUUUAUUCCGCUCCAGAGUGUUCUGCCCAACCCACAAGAGGUCUCGGCACUGUUUGUCUGCUUCGGCUGCAAGUCCUGACUGUUGCUAGGAUACGGGCCUGUGUGUUGGUUUAUUCCGCUCCAGCAGGUACAAGAAAUGGAAUCUGCCCAUGAGGGUUCUUCCGGGGCCGUGUCCAGAUAGUGACGCAGUGGACAGAAGCUUCUGGAAUGAUGAGCAGGAUUGUUGUUACCUGUGAGUCUGGCCACACUCAGGGUGGAGGACUGAUCAUCAGCAGACACCCCCCAUCGUGAUGUAGAAACCACCAGCCAUAUUUAAGUGACAAAAAAGCAAAUUUUAA